GGAGUUGUGGCUCAGUGGUAGAGCACUUGCCUAGCAUGUGUGAGGCCCUGGGUUCGAUUCUCAGCACCA
rfam:Ictidomys tridecemlineatus contig030983, whole genome shotgun sequence.